rnacentral:rRNA from 1 species
UAAGGAAUAUUGCGCAAUGGGGGAAACCCUGACGCAGCAACGCCGCGUGGAGGAUGACACUUUUCGGAGCGUAAACUCCUUUUAUCAGGAAAGAAUUAUGACGGUACCUGAUGAAUAAGCACCGGCUAACUCCGUGCCAGCAGUCGCGGUAAUACGGGGGGUGCAAGCGUUACUCGGAAUAACUGGGCGUAAAGGACGCGUAGGCGGAUUAGCCAGUCAUUUGUGAAAUCUAGUGGCUUAACCACUAAACUACUUAGGAUACGGAUAGUCUAGAGUAGGGGAGUGGUAGAUGGAAUUCAUGGUGUAGUGGUAAAGUCCGUAGAGAACAAGAAGAAUGCCCAUUGCGAGAGCGAUCUGCUGGACCCUAACUGACGCUGAGGCGUGAAAGCGUGGGUAGCAAACAGG